AUGAGCGACAUCUUGUAAUUUCGUUACGACCUAAAGCUGAUUACACGCCUCGAGCCAUUUAAAUAAGACAACCAUUUUUAUUUCACUCCCAUUUUUUACUAAAACCACAAAAACAUCCUAAUACCAAUUUAACGAGCGACAAAUUAUCACAAAUUUAUUCAUCUCUCGACCACCAUGAAGCUCAAACCGAUUUAUUUUUUCCUGUUUCUCAUAAUCCUGAGUUUCUUGUUUGAGUGCGACUUGGCCGCGAGUUCGAAAAAGAAGAAAAAGAAGGUAAAGAAAAAGAAGAACAAAACGGGGAAAAAGAAAACGAAAAGAGGCAAAAAUAAUUCUUCGGCACCUCCCGGACUCCUGUUUUCCCCAAUGCCGCCAGAAAACAACAAAACUGAAAUUCCAGAUGUUUACCCCGUUCCACCCCAAGACUUAGUCGCCCAAAAUGUAACCAAAUUAUCGACAGUCAUAUAAAUAAAAAAAUUUCGAUUCAA